AUUGAACGCUGGCGGCAGGCCAUACACAUGCAAGUCGAACGAGUGGCGGACGGGUUAGUAAUGUCUGGGAAACUUCCUGAUGGAGGGGGAUAACUACUGGAAACGGUAGCUAAUACCGCAUACCAUCGGAUGUGCCCCGAUGGGAUUAGCUAGUAGGGGGGGUAAAGGCUCACCUAGGCGACGCUCCCUAGCUGGUCGGAGAGGAUGACCAGCCACACUGGAACUGAGACACGGUCCAGAAUCCUACGGGAGGCAGCAGUGGGGAAUAUUGGACAAUGGGCGCAAGCCUGAUGCAGCCAUGCCGCGUGUAUGAAGAAGGCCUUCGGGUUGUAAAGUACUUUCAGCGGGGAGGCGUUACCCGCAGAAGAAGCACCGGCUAACUCCGUGCCAGCAGCCGCGGUAAUAC
rnacentral:rRNA from 1 species